CCGGAAUCCGAAUCAUCAGAAGGGUUCUACGAACAGGUCAAGGAGUUGAGAGAAAGAUGCAAGCAGCUCCCUGCUGAAUAUUUCGUUGUGUUGGUUGGAGAUAUGAUCACAGAGGAAGCUCUGCCAACGUACCAGACAAUGCUCAACACUCUAGAUGGUGUUAGGGAUGAGACUGGUGCAAGCCUCACUUCCUGGGCAACUUGGAUUAGGGCUUGGACUGCCGAAGAAAACAGACACGGUGACCUUCUCAAUAAGUAUCUCUACCUCUCUGGCUGUGUAGACAUGAAGCAGAUUGAGAGAUCCAUUCAGUAUCUUAUCCGCUCAGGAAUGGUAACAUCUGUCAAUCUUUCUUCUUUACUUCCUUAGUGUCUUACCCUUAAUUAUAGGGUAAAUACUUGUUUAGUUCUUAGGAUUUUGGCCAAUAUUACCUACUUAGCUUUUCUAUUUUUUAAAAAAUUAUUCAAACAUUUCUAUAAAUGUUACUUCCAUUUUUAUAGCUGUUGAAUUUUUUGACUGAUAUAUAUAUAUAUAUAUAUGUAUGUAUGUAUUAAAAUUAAAAAGAAAAGAUAGAGAAUUAUUAAGUAGAUUUUAAUGAAAACUAGUAUACAAUCGGGAUAUUUUGCAAUGUUUUUAAUAAAAAAAUAACUGGUCAAUUGACUUAAACUUUAUGGAUGAAUAAUUGAAAAAAAAAAAUCUAUAAUUAAAAGAGCAUUUUACAUGUACUCAUUUACUCAAAAGUCCAAAAUAUCACUAUUGUUUGUGUGUGUUUCCUGAAUUGUUCUCUACGUUUAACUUGUUAAAUUUUAGUAAUAUUUUGAGUAAUUUUUUUAAAUAACUACUCUAAAGUGUAAGGACUAAAGACGAAUUUAUCCAUAUACUUUUCAAAAUUUAAUUUGAUGUGAUCUAUUGUAGGACCCUAAAUUUGAAAACAAUCCGUACAAUGGAUUCAUCUACACAUCAUUCCAAGAAAGAGCAACAUUCAUAUCACAUGGCAACACAGCGAGGCUAGCCAAGGAGCACGGGGACAUGAAGCUAGCACAAAUUUGUGGCGUCAUUGCCUCUGAUGAGAAACGCCAUGAACUUGCCUACACCAAGAUUGUUGAAAAGCUCUUUGAAAUCGACCCGGACGACGCCAUCUUAGCAUUAGCAGGCAUGAUGAAGAAAAAGAUCAAAAUGCCGGCAUAUUUGAUGUAUGAUGGGCAAAAUGAUAAAAUUUUUUAUCACUUCUCAGCUGUUGCACAAAGGCUCGGAGUGUACACUGCCAAGGACUAUGCUGAUAUCUUGGCGUUUCUGAUUGAGAGAUGGGAAGUGGAGAAGUUGAUGGGUCUUACAAGUGAAGGGCGUAAAGCUCGGGAUUUUGUGUGUGGAUUGCCUUCGAGGAUUAGAAGAUUGGAGGAUAAAGCUCAGGCAAAUAUGGCUAAGAAAGCGUGCAGUACUGUUCCUUUCAGCUGGGUUUUUGGCAAAGAUAUAAGGGUUUAAUUAAGGGCUUCUUAUGGCUGUAUGCCUAUUUAUUAAUAGCCAAAUUGAACACUUGCCUUCUAAAGCAACUUCUUUUUGUUUUUAUUUUCGUUUAAAGGAUGUUGAGGAUUAGUUUAUUAAUAAAUAUUAGCGAUAGAGGAAUAGAGAGUGCAAUGGAGCUAGCUAGGGGUGGCCGCCUAUGUUUUUGGUUGGCGAAACCGCGAAAGUACUCACGAGGAGAGUACGAGUCAGGUCGAUUCAAAGACCUAGUCAAGGGGGCGAUCAGCGUAUUCCCGCGAAAGAUCUGGACACGAAGCCCACUCACUAGCAGUUAUGCUACCCGCUCAUCAGCAGUUGCAUUUCCCACUCACCCACGAUCGUACAACUGACUAUCGUGGGGGGAGAGAGGAAGUCGGUAAUUCCAGCUAAGUAUAAAAGCCAAGAGGACGAAGGUAACUAGGUAAGGGGGUUGGACAAUUUUUUACUAGACUUCCGUAUAUUUACUCUUGUUAAAAUAUUCGGUGUUUAUUUCCAUCCUUUCUUUCCUUUUCUGAACUUAAAGAUUUUCACCCAAAUUAGUUGUAAUUGAGCCACGAUUGUUUGUGGCAAAAGUUUUCUCCACAAUACCCAAUUAAUGACUUGAGGCGUUGGAGGGUUUUCACAGGAAAAACAUCCGGCACCCCUCUAACUGGUUGUUGUGAGCGCGAGUAUUCUCGAGUGAAGUGCUCGUGGUCGUAGGUUUCUGCUCAACAGUGAAACAUCAGCACAAAAUCAUAUCUCUAGCAACUACAAAUUCAAGUGUUGGUGUGACUUUCUGGUCGUUACGCAACUUGACCAUAAUUAAGCAUCAACAUUCGGUUUGAUUUAUAUGGUUCAGUUCAUGAAAUUUAAUAAUUUUUUUCUUUUAUAUUAACCAAAUUUUAUAUUUUCACCAAAAUGGAUUAUAUUUUUUUAAGUUCAAUUAAAUUAUAAUUACUAAUCAUUCAUCUUUUAUGCAAAAAUACUAAUAAAAAAUAUUAUUGUAUAUAUAAAUUGAAAUUUUUCUUUUUUAAAAAAAAAAAUUAACAUUUAACCGAUUAGUUUUUAGUUUGAUUCAUUUCAAAACUAAAAAUCAAUUAGUUCACAUUUCUUAGUUCUGACUAAUCAAAACAAACUAACAUAUCGUUUCGAUUUAGUCAGAGCCGAACCGAAUGCCCACCCUUACUUCACGGAGCUUCUCCUAGUGCUUUUGUCAAGUGAAAUAAGAGUUAUCGCAAUUCAAUCCUUGCACUCUCAAAAAAAUAUCAUCAAAAGUAGAGUAAAUGCAAGCAAUUGAAUGUCUCAAUCAAAGACGAGGGAGGAUGUAUUUACUUAGUAUGUUGUUGGCGAGUUUCAUGGUAUAGAAGAGGCUACCUAUUCCACCAUGUUGCCUGUAUCGUUAAUAAUAAAAAAAGAAAAAUCUCAAAUUUGAAUCAAUCAAAUUCGAACCUAAUUUGUUUGAUUAUUGUGAGAGGAAGGCAAUAUUGGCCGAACCUAAUGGCAAAUUCUUGUAGUGACCACAUGCAGGCACGUGUGAAUCUUUUCGUGACCUUAUUAUUAUGUUGCUUUCUAAACAAGGGAAACGGAGCACGCCGCCUGCAUGUGGUCACUGCAAGGCAUAUUUCUUUAUUACCCAAAGUUUUUUCAAUUUGUUUGAUUACGCAAAGUUUGUUUAUUUAUUUUCCUCGUUCUAAAAGAGUAAGAUAAGAUAACACCAAGGCAUAUUUGAAAUUAACGCACAUAAGCACGUAAUAUGUAUGUAUCAUCAAAUAUAGUUUUUUACGUUUUUCUCAAGUUGGCAUAUAUAAAAUAGAAACGCAUGUGAAAUAAAUUUCAUGAAAGUGACAAAGAUCAAUAGCAUACGUAUGUAGCAAUGACACAUUCAUUUCUCACACAAGUCAGUGAAUAUUAGUGUGAAGUAGGGUGGGCAAAAAAAUCCGGCCGGGCCCAAGAAAAAAAAAUCCGAGUCAGGUCUAGGCCAAUUAUUUUUUAAAAAUAAAUUUAUAAAUUAGAAUAAUAUAAUUAAAAUUAAAAAGUAAUUUAAAAAUAUAAAAAAAAAACUUAAAUUCUUAACUUAUAAAUUAAUGAUGAUUCAAAAAAGCUAAAAUUAUGAUACUAAACUCUUUUUUUAUAUUAAUUAAUUAAGAGAGCGUUUGAAUUAGAGAAUACACUAUUAAAGAAAAUUAAAUUUAUGAACUUUUAUUUGAUUUAUUUAUUAUUUUACUUUAAAAAAUAUAUUUUUUAAUUUACCUAUAAUUAUAAUAACUUAUUGAACAUUAAUUUAUUUUAAAUCUACAACAAUUAAAAAAAUUUUAAAAAAUAAAUAAAGUCCAAAUGCAGCCCAGGCCCUCUCGCUAAAUGUAAAGUGGGUUUGGGCCUGAACUUAAAAACAUCCGACUGAAACUCACUGUUUGCCAUCCCAACGUGAAGUGUAUCGAUUUCAACUGUCUCUAUGGGAUCCUAUGCAUAUAUGCCGGCUAAUUAAGGGCGAGAACUCAUAUCUUAUACUUGUUCAAAAUUCUCCAACUUGAGAAUGUGUCUCAUCGAACAAACGUUAAUUGGACAGCAGGAUUAGUCGCGGUAGGUGUGGUGCAUGCUUUGGACUUUGGACUCUGGGAGGGUCCAGUUGUUGGGUGUGGGCCAACCUAACACAGCUUGGCUGGGUAUAACUUAGUGGAUGAUUUUAUCAUUUUCUUUAAAUAAAUUAGUUGAUGAAUAAGAACUCAAAAAAAAAAAAAAAAAGCCCACUUUUUCGUUCAAUUUUUUGUUAUUGAAAUAUAAUUAUAUUGAUAUUAAGAAGGUAUUAACCACUAGGUAAAUAUUCUUAAUAAGAUGAAAUUGUAAGGUAAUAUAAUAUUAAUUAAUUAAUUAAUUAGUAAAUAAUAAUAAUAAUAACAACAAUAAAUGGCAUCGACUACUGCUACUAGUAGUAAGCACAAAAGCAGACGAAAACAAAAGGAGGUUCAGCUAAUGGCCUAAAGCAAUGCAUUUUGCAGAAGGACCCACGGGAGGACGCACGUAGCGAGUGGGCCAUCUCAAAUAUCAAACAAAGCGACAAAAUCCACGUUUCGCUUCCUCAAGAUUCGACGGGAGAUCGCCAUUUCCUUUCUUUACCCCCAAUGUUUCCCACAUAUUACCAUAAGAAGGACAGAUGGCAGGUGUGAAAUUGAAACAAAAAAGCAGUGGCGUCUAAGAAGAAGAAGCUCUUUUCUUAAUGCCGCUGCCUUUUGCCAGCCUUUUGUGCACUUUGUCUGUUGCUAUAUAAUAAACAAUCGAAAAGGAAGUAACGCAAUUCCCUCUGCAUUGCCCUUUUAGCCUUCGCUUCGUGUUCGGUUUCAUUUCUCCCUGUUUUGUCUUGGCCAUUUCUUCGACACAUACGCAAGUAAAUUAAACUUUAUUUUAUUUUUUUCAAAAUAAUCAUCGUCAUCUUAUUCGAUAAAAACGAUAUCUUUUGAAAUAAACAUUUACAGCAAUGGCUUUGAAACUGAAUCCAACAACAUUCAGCUUCCCGUCGUCAUCAUCAUCAAUCCGCAAACACAGAUGUUCAAGAGUCUUCAUGGCAUCCACUCUUCCUCCUGCUAUCACCAAGUCAGUAUUUUUUUUCUUUUAAUUCCUCAUUUGCAUUUUAAUUUGGCAUGAACACGAUCAAAUAUUCGUAUUGUUAUUUUUCUUUAUCAUUAUACUGAUCUGGGUUGUUUGUGUUUUAUUCCAAAUGUUUUUUUUUUCCACUUUAUGGGUAUCAGCUAUUGGAUUACGAACGGUUUCUUGAAUGAUUUUAUUGAUCUGGGUUUUAGUAUUUACUAUUUAGUGCUAUGUGAGCUUGAUAUUGCUUUAAAUCAUGCGUGUCUUUUCCCUGAAUUGUAUUUGUCUUUUUGUGUAAGAUCAUUGAGAUUUUUUAGGGUCGGUCGAUUCUAUUUUGCUUUGGCAUUGGGAUUUGAUUCUUGCAUGUGGCUUCAAAUGGACGCUCUGUGUUUCUGCGUCCCUGUUUCUGGAUGAUGAUGGAAUUCAUUUUUCUGCUGUUCUAGCCCGGCAUCAUUUAUUUAUUUAUUUUUGUAUCUUGUUGAAUGUUUGCUGAAUUUUAUAUCUCUUGAUAUUGUAAGGGGUUUUUUUAUAUGCCUUGUUGCAUGUGGGGCUUUCUGUUUGUCUUUUUUUAUUGUGGGGACUAUUUAUUUAUUUAAUUAUUUUUCAUAGAUCAGAGUUAGGUGUGGUUUUGUGAGUUAACUUAUUCUUUUGGAACUUGGUCGUGUUGGUUGACUGGCUUUAUAUCUAUGUAUAUGUGGGCAAGAAUUCAAUUAAUCUAUUGUCAAUUACUCUUUGGUGGGAAAUACAUUCUUGUUUCAGUGUAGUGCAAAUUUUUCAUUGGAACUUGCUUGUAUCAUAUGAGGCUCUAUCAUUGCAUUGAGAUUCUAAUUUCCUUUCAUCUCGUUUGUAGCUAUUUCCAUCACUCACUCAAUUUGAAGAGUAAUUUGUGAUAACACAAGGUUUUGUUGGCUACUUUAGCAGCUAAGGAAAGGACUUACGAAUUGCUUACCAUUUGUCACACUUCUUAUUGCCAUCAUGUCAUCAUGUGUAUUAAGGGAAAAAAAAAAUCAGCCCUUUUUCCGUAUGAUAUAGGUGGUACAUAUGUAUUUUAAUAUAAUUGUUUUAUUGUAUUACAAUUUCCUCAACUCUAUAGAUGGCCAGGGUCUCUUUGUCGCUGAAAAUUAAUAUAUGGUUGUGAAACUUCCCUGUUUAGCUUAUACCAGUUUUUUGGUAUUUGGUUACUAAAUCCUUGACUUUGCUGUCAAUAUGGUAGUAGUUGGUGUUUAUAUGACGCCUUGGAUGUCGAUUUUUUUUUUUUCAAUUAUCCCUUAUCUGUUGCUGCUCAGCCUGUUCCAGAAGACAUAAAUAAUAAUAAUAAAAAAAAAAUGAAAUAAUCUGUUUUUUGUUCCCUUUUGUUUGCACCAAUUAUUGUUCUAUUUCCCUGGGUAAAAGCCUCUUAAACCCCCUCCUAGUGAAAUAUAUUUCUAACUUUCAAUUAGAAACUUCAUUUAUGCUUUUUUUGCUGUGUUCUGCUGGUUACAGAGAGGUUGAGAAUCUUAAGAAGCCGUAUUGCCCUCCAAGGGAGGUACACGUUCAAGUAACUCAUUCUAUGCCACAACAAAAGAUCGAGAUAUUCAAAUCUUUGGAGGGUUGGGCUGAGGAGAAUAUCUUGGUGCACCUAAAGCCUGUUGAGAAAUGUUGGCAACCCAUGGAUUAUCUGCCGGAACCUGAAUCGGAAGGAUUUUAUGAGCAAGUCAAGGAGUUGAGAGAAAGAUGCAAGGAAAUCCCUGAUGACUAUUUUGUGGUAUUGGUUGGAGAUAUGAUCACAGAAGAAGCCCUUCCUACUUACCAGACAAUGCUGAACACCCUAGACGGGGUUCGAGAUGAGACUGGUGCAAGCCUCACUUCUUGGGCAAUUUGGACUAGGGCUUGGACUGCUGAAGAAAACAGGCAUGGCGACCUUCUCAAUAAGUAUCUCUACCUAUCUGGACGUGUAGACAUGAAGCAAAUUGAGAAGACAAUUCAAUACCUGAUAGGAUCAGGAAUGGUGAGAUUCUCCUUUCCUAUUACUAAAUUCUAUAUAAGAGGACAAGCUUCUUCUGUUGUCUAUGCUGUGCACUUGAUUUUUCAGUAUUUAUGAGUUUGUUGUUUUCUUAGGAUCCUAAAACAGAAAACAACCCCUACCUUGGUUUCAUCUACACUUCAUUCCAAGAGAGGGCAACAUUUAUCUCCCAUGGGAACACAGCCAGACAUGCCAAGGAUUAUGGAGACUUGAAACUUGCACAGAUAUGUGGCAUCAUUGCCUCUGAUGAGAAACGCCAUGAAACUGCCUACACCAAGAUUGUGGAGAAGCUCUUUGAAAUUGAUCCAGAUGGCACUGUCAUGGCUUUAGCUGAUAUGAUGAAGAAGAAAAUAUCAAUGCCCGCCCAUUUAAUGUAUGAUGGCCGGGAUGAUAACCUAUUUGAACACUUCUCAACAGUUGCCCAGCGGCUCGGAGUCUACACUGCAAAGGACUAUGCUGACAUUUUGGAAUUUCUGGUGGGUAGAUGGAACAUAGAAAAGUUGACGGGUCUUUCGGGAGAGGGCCGUAAAGCUCAAGAUUUUGUUUGUGGUUUGCCUCCAAGAAUUAGAAGGUUGGAGGAGAGAGCUCAGGGAAGGGCCAAGCAAGCAUCCGCUGUACCGUUCAGCUGGGUGUUCGGCAG
rnacentral:lncRNA from 1 species